UUCUUAUCCAUAUAUGGGGCAUAUAAACACAUAGUUGUUACCGGCCUACCUGGCCAAUAUCAUAAUCAUCGAGACCAGUCUCCAUUUUGACUAGGGCCUCAAAAUCCAAUUUUCCAUCCUUAACGGGGGUACCUGAUGGGAAGAAACAACAUAUAAAACAUAAUGAAAACUAAAAGAAAAAAUAUACAUAUGAAAUUAAGAUCACAACAAUAAGAGACAACUUACUUUUAGUGAUGAUAAAUUAGGAUUCUAGUUCAUAAGAAAUUCGAGAACAUUCACAUAUGUCUCCCUCCUUCCAAGAAUACAGAGUUUUGUCUCACUAACUACAUUCAAUUAUUCAGUUAUCCUAUUUGUUGAAAAUUUGUCACCCUAGAACUGGAUUGUUUGUUGUAACGAUUCACGCAGUAAGCGAUUUCGACCGUUCAAAAGGGAUCUCGUACGAUCUAAUUUAUCAGUGUAAUUUGAACACAAUUUCGAUCUCAG
rnacentral:lncRNA from 1 species